AUUGAACGCUGGCGGCAGGCCUAACACAUGCAAGUCGAACGAGUGGCGGACGGGUGAGUAAUGUCUGGGAAACUGCCCGAUGGAGGGGGAUAACUACUGGAAACGGUAGCUAAUACCGCAUACCAUCGGAUGUGCCCAGAUGGGAUUAGCUUGUAGGUGAGGUAACGGCUCACCUAGGCGACGAUCACUAGCUGGUCUGAGAGGAUGACCAGCAACAUUGGAACGGAGACACGGUCGAGAAUCCUAGGGGAGGCACCAGUGGGGAAUAUUGCGCAAUGGGCGCAAGCCUGAUACAGCCAUGCCGCGUGGAUGAAGAAGGCCUUCGGGGUGUAAAGUACUUUCAGCGGGGAGGCGUUAGCCGCAGAAGAAGCACCGGCUAACUCCGUGCCCGCAGCCGCGGUAAUGC
rnacentral:rRNA from 1 species